ensembl:misc_RNA
UAGGGCUCAUCUGAGACCUAAGAUGGCGGCGUUUGCAUAAUGUGAAAGCGAUGCAGGCGUACCAGAUUGGAGAGGCAGGCAAAGGAUGUAUCUGCUAAGGAAGGUUCGGGAACUCGCCAAUACUUGUGGUGAGU